GAUGAAGAACGUAGCGAAAUGCGAUAAGUAAUGUGAAUUGCAGAAUUCAGUGAAUCAUCGAAUCUUUGAACGCACAUUGCGCCCGCCAGUAUUCUGGCGGGCAUGCCUGUUCGAGCGUCAUUUCAACCCUCGACUUCCCUUUGGGGAAGUCGGCGUUGGGGACCGGCCGUAUACCGCCGGCCCCGAAAUGAAGUGGCGGCCCGUCCGCGGCGACCUCUGCGUAGUAAUCCAACUCGCACCGGAACCCCGACGUGGCCAAGCCGUAAAACCCCCGACUUCUGAACGUUGACCUCGGAUCAGGUAGGAAUACCCGCUGAACUUAAGCAUAUCAAUAAGCGGAGGA
rnacentral:misc_RNA from 1 species